rnacentral:rRNA from 1 species
UACGUAGGGGGCAAGCGUUGUCCGGAAUCAUUGGGCGUAAGAGCGUGUAGGCGGUCCGGUAAGUCCGCUGUGAAAGUCGGGGGCUCAACCCUCGAUGCCGGUGGAUACUGUCGGGCUAGAGUGCGGAAGAGGCGAGUGGAAUUCCUGGUGUAGCGGUGAAAUGCGCAGAUAUCAGGAGGAACACCUAUUGCGAAGGCAGCUCGCUGGGACGUAACUGACGCUGAGACGCGAAAGCGUGGGGAGCAAACAGG